rnacentral:tRNA from 1 species
GAAAAAGAAUGCAAGAGCUGCUAACUCAUGUGACCGUACUUAAAAUUACGGCUUUUUCAA